GACGAACGCUGGCGGCGUGCUUAACACAUGCAAGUCGAACGAAGUGGCGAACGGGUGAGUAACGCGUAAUCAACCUGCCCUUCAGAGGGGGACAAAAGUUGGAAACGACUGCUAAUACCGCAUACGGAAGGAGGGGAUUGCGUCUGAUUAGCUGGUUGGAGGGGUAACGGCCCACCAAGGCGAUGAUCAGUAGCCGGUCUUGGGGGAUGCACGGCCCCACUGGGACUGGUACACGGCCCAGACUCCUACGGGAGGCAGCAGGGGGGAAUCUGCCGCAAUGGACGAAAGUCUGACGGAGCAACGCCGCGUGAGGGGUGACGGCCUUCGGGUUUGAAAGGUCUGUUAAUCGGGACGCGGUACCGGAAUAGAAAGCCACGGCUAACUACGUGCCAGCAGCCGCGGUAAUUC
rnacentral:rRNA from 1 species